GAUACAGGUUUUGAUUGGAUGUAUCACUGCUUCCCAAUAUUAAUGAAGAUAAUUAAGGGUUGCCUAGGUAAACACUUUCUGCAGAAUAUUGCUGUUAUGAAAAAAAGAAAGAAAAGAAAAGUAAAACAGACCAGUCGCCAGAAGAGGCAGUCUCACAUGAUCAGUGUGUCUCUGGGAGCCGAGCAGUAGGAAGCGGCUCUCCUGGACCUGCACUUUUGUGUAGCCAAGCAAGGAUAUUGCAAGGUGUUGAAGCAUAACCCUCCUAACACGGUAUGGAGUCCACAGACCAAGAGAGAACCUGAAGACCCCCAAACCCGAGAAGGUUUUAAGGGUCUGAAAUGUGGAUAAAUCUUCCCUACUUAUUGCACUCUUGUCAAGAGGAUUAAAUAAGGUAACUGUGUGAAAGUGCUUUGUCAAGUUGCAAGGGCUAUACAAAAUUUAGCUAUCAUUAUACCAAGUUAUCUAGUAAUACAUUUUAAAAAUUGUGCUAAGGUCAGUCCAUCAUUUAAAACCCAUCUCCAGCCAAUCCCUCUACCUGCCUGCUAUGGACUGAAUAUUCAUGACCCCCCUAGAAUUCACAUGGUGAAGCCCCAAUAUGGUGGUAUUUGGAGGUGGGAUUUUAGGGAGGAGUCCUCAUGAUGGGAUUAGUGCCUUUAUAAGAGACAUGAUAGAGAUGAUUCCUCUUUCAUUCUUUCUCUGCAAUGUGAGGAUGGAUACAGGAAGAAGACUGAUGCCUGUGAAUCACAAAGAGGGCUUUCACCAGAACCCAACCAUGGUGGCACCCUGAUCUUGGAUUUCUAGUAACCAGAACUGUGAAAAAUAAAUCCCUAUUGUUUAAGCCACACAGUCCAUGAUAUCUUGUUAUAGCAGCCAAACUAAGACACUGCCCUAUGCUGCAGAGUGUAUCUAGAAGCUUUUCUCUAAAUGUACCAGUGCUUUGUACUUUCAGGUCUUUGUGCCCUCAUUUCCAUUAUACUUCCUGUUAUUGUGCCCAAUGCCCUUCCC